UACAGAGGUCCCAAGCGUUGUUCGGAUUCACUGGGCGUAAAGGGUGCGUAGGUGGUGAGGUAAGUCGGAUGUGAAAGCUCGGAGCUCAACUCCGAAAUGGCAUUGGAAACUACCUUGCUCGAGGAAUGGAGGGGAGACUGGAAUACUUGGUGUAGCAGUGAAAUGCGUAGAUAUCAAGUGGAACACCAGUGGCGAAGGCGAGUCUCUGGACAUUUCCUGACGCUGAGGCACGAAAGCCAGGGGAGCAAACGGG
rnacentral:rRNA from 1 species